UUUGUUUUAUCACAAAAGGCUCUGAGGUGCUUCUGCUGGCUUUUGGUAAAGUAGCUGCAGAGUUAGUACAGAAGCUUUGAACAUUCCCAGCUGAGGCACAUAUGACCACCUCAGCUGUGAAUGAUAAGCUUGCAGUGUGAAAGGAAUGAAAAAGAUAAAGGUAAGCUUAUCUGGAACCCUAACUCUCCUUUUUUCCAUCCAUCCUUACUGCUAGCAAGGUGUCUGUCGGACUAUUGAUAGGGAUCCUCCAUUUUAAGACCAAAGGGAUUACCAGGCUGUGGAAGAAGAAACUGAUGAACGCUGACAGGAUUUGACAAAAAACCCAAACAACUCAUACCUUCUGAAAAUUGAGCAAAAACACCUCCAGAUGCAAAAGGCUGAUGAAUCAAUCUACUACCAGAAUGUGGAUUUCAGGUAUCUGAGAUGGACUACUUCAGCAUUAGAAAGUUCUGAGGUGAACUGCUGAGUGUGUCACAGUACAGCUGGUAGAGUUAAGUGUGGAAAGUCAGUCUGAGCACAUGCUGUAAUGGAUUUGACCUCGAAGAGCACAACAAAGAGAAAUUGCAGAUAACCAUCUGAACUGACUUCAGAAGCCUGUAGCCCCGACUCCCUGGAUACCAGGAGAAAAGAGAAGGACUAAAUAGAUCGGAAUGAACAAUCAGCAAUACAAGAAUGAAUAAAAGUGUAAUAUUUGAAGUGCUGACAGUAGAAGAAAACACAGAAGAGCAGUAUAUUUCCCUACAUGAUUCCAGUCAUAUUAAGAAAGUGAAAUUCCUUAAAAGAAAGCUUUGUAAAAAUAAAAUAUAUAUUGAAAGAAGUGAGAUGUGAAAGUAGUAUUGGAACAAUGAAGACAUGCAGCUGAGAAGAUCCUAAGCACCUCUUCAUGGUGAGCAAUUACUGAUUAAAAAUUCUAAGGAGAAAGGAGAAACUACUCACAUGGAGGCCACAAUGAAGUCAGAGAUAGAGAAUUUAUACAAUAUCUGAAAUCUCUGCAAUCAGGUGGAAUAGCUGAAGGUUCAGAUUUCCUACAGCAAACUCAGAUUAAAGUCUGGAGCUCGCACUUUCUUUGAGGGCCUGGCUGGAAAUUUUGGAAGGGAAUGCAUCUGCCAAGACAACUUCUGCCAAAGCAACUCUUCCCACUCUUUUGGCCAAGAUUGCAUGGACCUUCAAGACCUUGAAGUGUUGUACCUCUGUUGUCAGAGCAAUUCCACGAGUCCAAGAUAAGGAAUAAGAGCUAAAGUCUUAAUCCAAUAUUAGCCUACAGAAAUGCUACAAAUUCUAAUAUAUACAUCUAUUUCUGGUAUAUCUAGCUUGACAGAAAUCUCUCAGAAUACUUGUUAUAAAUUCCUUGAGGGGAUAUACUUCUAAUAUUGAUAGAAGUACUCACUAGUGUCCAUUGUACAAUGCAUCUCUAAGUAGUCUUUAAGUGGCUUAUAUAAAUACUUGAUUAAGCUAUGCUUCUCCUUAAUAAUCACUCUUGUGAGCACAGACUGUGAUGGCGUUUUAUCUGUUGAAUUAUAAUUAAGACUUACUUUGAAAUAAUUGCUUGUAUCUCCACUUAUCUAGGUGCUAUAUCUUGCUGAUAUGAAGCUGGUGUUUCUGUAUUACCAUGCGAAAGGCUGCUUUCAGACCUAAGGACAUAGGUGUAAAUCAAAAAAUUGACACAUAGUUAUCAGAGGUCUGCUGCUUCCAGCUGUACAGCGUGGCUCUACUACAGUAUCCUCUCACAUGGACUGGGUGAUGGGGAAAAGGGUGUGCAAACUGCAAAAGGUCAUAAUCUGCAGGUGCAAAUACAUUCACCAUACUUCUCUGGAGUACAGCUUGAUUCUGAUAAAGGAAGGAGGAAGGCUGAAUUCCCCUUUGUUACAUGCAGAUUAGCUCUCUGCUUGCUGUCAAUAUACACAUCAGCUAGACAAAGUUCGGACAGCACUCUUUUAAAGACAGUUCCAGUUUUCCUGAAGGGAAAGAUCUGUUGGGCAUUAUCUGUGGAGGUCUUCUGCUUCAGCUGUGAUCAGAAAGAACAUAGGAAAGAAAACCAAACAAGAUUGCAAUCCUAUAAGUCUUUCUACACUGAAUUACACUGAAUGGUGCCCCACAUAAAGACCAAGAUUCACCACCGUCAGUUCCUGAAAUGCAAGAACCAGACACUCAUGAUGUUACUAGAGCCCAUGCAGUUCUUAAUUUCGACCUAACUUCACCCAUUCUCCCUGUCCAUUUUUUUCCUUCCCCAGCUGUUUACAGCCAUUCAAUAAGUGUUUCAUAACUUCAGUAUUAGUAGGCAUAAUAAGUACAAAAUGACUAGCAGAGUACCAAUAAUGUAAUUGCAAAGAAUGUUAAUGGCUUCUGUAUCAAUAGCACUCCAGCAUAUUUUUAAUGGCGUUGAGGACGACAGUACUGGUAGUAUCUGAGAAGCCAUCUUUCAUUUGACAAGCAGUCUUACUCUAUAAUGUCUGCCUUGGCGAUCAGCUCUCCCCGUGUAAGGGACAGCAGGGGCCAUGCUCAAAUUACAUGUCUGAGUACAAGAGGUAAACGGGUCAGGGCCACUACAGACCCAGUUUCAGAGAACUUAGUCUCCUUGACUUUAAUCCUACAAAGUCCACGUUUCAUGUGUACUGAAUCAUUUUUUCUCUGUGUCUUUAUAGCACAUUUUGUGUGCAAUGCAGCCAUGCCCGGUGCUUUUGGCUCUUCACUCUGCACUGUAGGAGCUUCCAUACAUCAGCAAGGCAGCACACUGCACCCAGCUGACUGAGUGUCAGCUUCACGCCACAGUAGCCAGCGGCAGCCUGUGACCUUCGAUUCUUUGCUAAUACUACUUGACAUCUUCUGUGCUUGCAAGCUAGACUGCAAAGAAAAUAAAUAAAUAAGGAUAAAUUGCAGUGUUAAAGCACAUUGCUAAGAACAAAUAAACAAUGAUUGCUCCUUUAAGUUAUAGAUUUACUUUUUUUCUCUGUUCUUCUGUUUAAACAUGGAAAUUAGUAUACUGAAUGCUAUUCUGCAAGGGAACUGCUCUUCUUUUUAAUAAAUAUUCUGGGAAUAGUUUUGUACAUUUAGCAAGCUUGAAGUCCCCAGGUUAUAAAUCAUCAAUGUUCCAUAUGGCACAGGCACUUUUUGAACUGUGUACCCACUGGAAAAAUCUGUAUAUUGUUUUUUUGAAUGCUUUUCCCUUGCCCCUUGUAUUUAUAAAUCAUAUUGUCACCUGCAUAAGCUGUUUAUUUUCCAAAUUUUUGUCUGUCUGUAGUCAGGGGAAGGAGGAGGGGAGUAGUGUGGGGGGAGGAACAACAACGAAUACCAUGUCCUUUCCAAUAGCUAUGCUAUUUAAGCUUGUACAAGUGAUGGAAGGCUUACAGUGUAUUAGAGUUUCAGCUCUGUUUUCAGAUUGUCUGUAUUGAAUGUUUUUCCUUAAAACAAGUGCAAAGAGCAUUUGAUCUCCUACCUAAAAAUAGCAGCUUUUAAUGGAAAGUAUGAGAUGCUGAACCUACAAUGGAGAAUGUUGGAAGCAGCUGGGGCUGUGCUGGCCUGCAUGCAGCCACAGAGGAUGCUGUCAAUAGCACCAUGGUGAUUUGGUCUGCUCCCAGGUGAGUAGGCAGUUAUGAUAGUCAUGACCCCUACCAGUUUUAAGGUUUCCUUCGAGAAAUGACCUCCAGGAUGCCCUAUAGUGGAAAGUUUUUCAAUAAUACUUCUAAAAAAUAAAAGUUUGCAUUGAUUAUUAUUUUAAUUCAACAGCUUUACAUUUAAUAAAAUGCUCAGACUGCAGAUUAAUGCUUGACAUAAUUAUUAUUUCUCUGUGCCUUGAAAAUGAUAUAUAGAUUGAAAAGGUCGAUUCCACCAUAGUUUAUGCUGGCAGCUCAAUAUAUGCAUCACUGAGGUACCAUGCAGCUAUUUCGGCAUUACUCAUAUAGAGAAGCUUGCUAUACCUUAAGUGCUCCCUUCAGCUUCCCUGCUGCACUAGAAACCUCUGCUUUCUUGCUGCAUGAGUUACAGCAACUCUCAUUUUAGCCUUUUACUCCUGUUGUCAUGUAUAACAUACUCCACUUCUGGAAGUUGCCCAGAGUCUCAUCUUAAUGAUUUUAUUACCUCUCAUUCCAGGGAGUUGAAGCAUAUAAAAGAUAUAUGCUAUUUCAAUGGUAAAUAGCAACACAAAAUAUGUAUCUUAUUAUACUAUUCAGAGAUUCCUCAGGCAGGGAGACUGUCAGCUUGAUGCAAGUCAUAGACAUUGUAGUGUUCUGUAGUAUAUAUAGACAUCAAAAUCAUGUUGAGAUCCAGCUUCAGAUUACUUUGCUGAGCACCCAGAAUGCUGGCAGAUGCCUUUCAUCCUUCUCCCAUUGAUUUUGCAGACUGAGCAUGUGCAUUUGAACCCACUUACUUCUUAGCAACUUCCUAACAUCAGUAGCAAAUGAUUAUUUGCAUGGGCAGUCUCAUUAAAGCUAAUAGUACUGCCACUGCUGCCACAAGUAAGAGUUAGAGCUUUGUAGUCCAGUCUUAAACUGACAAAGGGAGUGUAAGGCGAGAUACAUAAAAGCAUAUGGCCUGAAACAGUGCUGGGAGUAGGUUACCAACUGAUUCCAUGAAUUAAUGAACCCUCCCCCAUAUUAAAAAAAUCCACAGUAAUUGAAAAAAAUCCUCUGAAUUCCACAAUAAAACCAGAUUACAAAGACUCAACAUCAGCAGGGAAAAGUCAGACAUUGAUCCAUGAAUCUAACUGUAGUGCUUGGAUUAUCAAGGUGGGAAUGGUCAUGUGAAAGCCACCAUCUUAUAUUUAUUUUACUGUAAAAAAUAAACACUGCAGUAGCAGAAGAUGGUGCCUGAAAGACAGGAAUCCUGGAAGCUCAGGAGGGAAUCUUUGUGUUGCGAGAAAAAAAAAAAAGGCAUAACAGGCAGCAAAAAUAAAAGGUAGAAGUAAAUAAUUCACUGUUUUCCUAAAGGAGAAUAAAGGCUGAGAUGGAGAACAUUUGUUUCUUGGAAAGAGAAAAAAAAUCUAUAAUGAAAUUAACACACAUGAAAAGGUGUACACCUUGUUUUAAGGAAAAGAGCAAAAAAUCUGAGCUCAUAUGCUCCAAAUGAUAUAUAAAAAGUCUUAUAUUGUAUAUAACAUUUAUAAGAUGGUCUAAAACCAAGCAUCUCUUAUUUCUGGGCCACCAUAAAUCACUUAGAGAUUGUCACUACAUUUUUUCAGUAUAUGCU